rnacentral:rRNA from 1 species
GCGGGACACGUGGUAUCCUGUCUGAAUAUGGGGGGACCAUCCUCCAAGGCUAAAUACUCCUGACUGACCGAUAGUGAACCAGUACCGUGAGGGAAAGGCGAAAAGAACCCCGGCGAGGGGAGUGAAAAAGAACCUGAAACCGUGUACGUACAAGCAGUGGGAGCCUCUUAAUGGGGUGACUGCGUACCUUUUGUAUAAUGGGUCAGCGACUUAUAUUCUGUAGCAAGGUUAACCGAAUAGGGGAGCCGAAGGGAAACCGAGUCUUAACUGGGCGUUAAGUUGCAGGGUAUAGACCCGAAACCCGGUGAUCUAGCCAUGGGCAGGUUGAAGGUUGGGUAACACUAACUGGAGGACCGAACCGACUAAUGUUGAAAAAUUAGCGGAUGACUUGUGGCUGGGGGUGAAAGGCCAAUCAAACCGGGAGAUAGCUGGUUCUCCCCGAAAGCUAUUUAGGUAGCGCCUCGUGAAUUCAUCUCCGGGGGUAGAGCACUGUUUCGGCAAGGGGGUCAUCCCGACUUACCAACCCGAUGCAAACUGCGAAUACCGGAGAAUGUUAUCACGGGAGACACACGGCGGGUGCUAACGUCCGUCGUGAAGAGGGAAACAACCCAGACCGCCAGCUAAGGUCCCAAAGUCAUGGUUAAGUGGGAAACGAUGUGGGAAGGCCCAGACAGCCAGGAUGUUGGCUUAGAAGCAGCCAUCAUUUAAAGAAAGCGUAAUAGCUCACUGGUCGAGUCGGCCUGCGCGGAAGAUGUAACGGGGCUAAACCAUGCACCGAAGCUGCGGCAGCGACACUAUGUGUUGUUGGGUAGGGGAGCGUUCUGUAAGCCUGUGAAGGUGGCCUGUGAGGG